rnacentral:rRNA from 1 species
UGAGUAACCUGCCCUUGACUCUGGGAUAAGCGUUGGAAACGACGUCUAAUACCGGAUACGAGCUUCAGCCGCAUGGCUAGGAGUUGGAAAGAAUUUUGGUCAAGGAUGGACUCGCGGCCUAUCAGGUAGUUGGUGAGGUAAAGGCUCACCAAGGCGACGACGGGUAGCCGGCCUGAGAGGGUGACCGGCCACACGUGGGACUGAGACACGGCCCAGACCUCCGUACGGGAGGCAG